CAGCGAUAAUUCUUUGAACGUGGAAGUAAUUAAAAAUGUACUGACAAUAAUUGGGCAAUAUUCUCCGCCAGGAUUCAGCAAAAGUCGUUUUGAAGCGGUAUUUAACGCAAUAGGAAGUUGUAGUUCGACAGCAAGUAACACUGUAGAGGAAAGUGUGAAGACAUACUUUCAAUGUGUAAAAAAGCUUACAUGAAUAUUCAGAUAUAUCCUUAAAAACUUGACGAUGAAGUUAUGUUCUUCAAUGUUGAAACAUGUCGAUGUAAAACUUUAAAGUAAUAAAGAGAUUUCACUUAUAAACAAUUUCGACUAUUUUAAAAAAAAAAUUUUUGGUUGGGGCAACAUGAGACACGUUGAGGCAACAAAUCGCUAUGUUGGCUCUGGG
rnacentral:lncRNA from 1 species